CAGGGAGACAACAAAANGAGAAUNCNNUAUUGUGGUCCUUAGGUCGAGCGGUAUCACACCUUUUUAAUUUAUUAAAAAGUUCAUUUCCUAAGUUUUUCUAGGUCACACCCAUUAUUUUUCCUGGGUCAUUAUCUCAAGGGGAUAAAACGCACCCCUGAUAAGGGUGANGUCCCUGGUUUUUAUNGGGAUGGCCCAUAUCUCUAUGUUGGGGGUAUAGCUCAGUUGGAAGAACGCCUGCUUUGCAAGCAGGAUGUCAGCGGUUCAAGUCCGCUUACCUCCUUUGAUUACCACUUCUUCCAUAAUUGGUAAAAAGGAAAUGUUUUGAGUAGUGAACAAAUCUCAAAGAAUCUANCUUCCUAAUGAAAACAUUAAAAUGCUGGACUCAUUGAAUUAAUUUCAUUGUUUUCAAAGAACCUUGACNACUGCAUAGAUUAUUUUUAAAGAUUUAACCAUCUUUAAUGAUGCAUAUUUAUUAUUUGUGCGAAUGCAUUAAUAACAANUCUAUUANNCUAUAUGCUUCNAUUUUUGAAAUUUAUU
rnacentral:tRNA from 1 species